rnacentral:rRNA from 1 species
GGAAUAUUGGACAAUGGGCGAAAGCCUGAUCCAGCCAUGCCGCGUGUGUGAAGAAGGUCUUCGGAUUGUAAAGCACUGUAAGGUGGGAGGAAGGGUAGUAACUUAAUACGUUGCUACUUUGACGUUACCGACAGAAUAAGCACCGGCUAACGUGGUGCCAGCAGCCGCGGUAAUACGAAGGGUGCAAGCGUUAAUCGGAAUUACUGGGCGUAAAGCGCGCGUAGGUGGUUCAGUAAGUUGGAAGUGAAAUCCCCGGGCUCAACCUGGGAACUGCUUUCAAAACGUCUGAGCUAGAGUACGGUAGAGGGUGGUUGAAUUUCCUGUGUAGCGGUGAAAUGCGUAGAUAUAGGAAGGAACACCAGUGGCGAAGGCGACCACCUGGACUGAUACUGACACUGAGGUGCGAAAGCGUGGGGAGCAAAC